GGUCAGUCUCUAAGAAGCACUUGAAAAGGCAGUGGCCCACUGCAGGACUGGAGGAAUAUAACCUGAGGGAGCAGACGUGGUUGGGGGCUUACCAAAAUUAUCACCUUCAGUUUGGGUGGGACCAGUUCUAAUAUUAAUGCAUAUUUAAAUGAGUAUUUUGCAUUUAUCUGCAUUCAUCUGAAAAUAAAAUAGUCUGAAGGAAAGAAUAGAAAAAAAUGUGCAAGGGUGUGGACGAGAAUUCAUGAGAUGCAAAUAUGUGAUAGGAUAAAUGACAGGUCCAUCUUUUCCUACUUAAUAUCCAUGGGCUUGUGGCUAAUUGUGCUUUUGUUGUGCAAUUAUCCAGAGUUUGCUCAAGGUUUUUGCAGCUGGGGUGUGGGGUGCAGCUAGUGUUUUGUUUAACUUCCUGCAAUCAUAGCCCUGCAUGUAACUUAGGCCCCUGGAGAUCAGAUAAUCCCCCGGCUAAAGCAUAUUGGCUCUGUCUCUCCCACUUAUGCUUCCUGCUAACUGUCUGUGGGCAGAAAUAGAUGAAGAAGACACACAAAGAUUUCUCUUGCUUUUAAAUGGGCUUGGUUGUCUAGGUUUCACCAAUGAUAGCAGGCCAUCCAUAGGCUUUGAAGUUGGCUUUGAAGUUAUGAGGCAAUUGGAGGAAAUGAGGUAAUGAGCCGCAGGGUUUCCUGGAGAGCCAGUUUGUGAGAGGUGUGAUUGGACACAGCACCCCAGAGGGAGACAGCGGCCAUUUUGCUCUGUGGGCCUCUCCUUCUGGCCUGCCAGCUAAAUGUAAAGGACAGAAGCACCAAUUAUGGCACUCCAGCAUAUGGCCAGAAGCGAAUACCCAGCUCUAAUGAUGGACCCUGCCAACUGCAUGCCUGCCCAGCUCACCACUCUCCAGCCAGGAGAGAGGGGUUGGGGAUCCAGCUGUCUUUGCCCCAGCUCAGAGGUUCCCAAGGGGGCAAACUACAGCAGCAGACCCCAGAAAUGAAGACUACCAGACCUGGGCACAGAUGUUACACCCUGGUAGCGUGUGAUGUCUAAUGGCAGCCAGACAGGCAUCACCUUUCUGCCUGUCUGGCUAAAGGUGCUGGCAGCAAACCGCGUCUCGGCACUCAGGACACUUCAGACAUUUACUGCACUUCCAGCUGACACUCGUUUGGGGAAAUUAGACUAACGCCUUGUCUUUGCAUUGACAGGAAAAGCACUGAUAUGACUAUGAGCUCCUGCACUCAGGACAGAUUAAACUUUAAACUUUACAUGUUUCUGCGAGGACCCUUUACUAUGUAACAUUUGAGGUAAAUCUCCCCAGGGCAAAGUGCACAAAGCUAAAUCUAUUUUCAGUCUUUGAGUAAAAAAUUUACAGUAUUUUGAAAGAAUAUGUUUUUGAUAAAAUGUGUAAAAAAGUAAGAUUAAUGAAAGAUGCAUGGGCUGGGAAGCUUGUUGUAAUUCAAGUUUAAUGAAUCUAAAAUGGCUAAUGCAUUAGCGCGACAUGAUACAACUCCUUCAUUAAAUAUGCAGUUUCAGAAAAUUUAAGCAGCACUCUGGAAUAAUAAUAAUGUCCCUGUGUGAUCAUUACUUUCGUGAUCAAAUUUGUCUCCUGUUCAACCCGGUUAUUUUGGAACGUCUCUGAACAAGGGACUUAAGUUUGAGACUUUUUCACUUGUGUCCAAAGUUAGUAGAACCAGACAAGAAAAUGAAAAUCUUUAUGUUUACAUUUUCUAGUCCAUGAAAAUGAAAAUAAUACAAAUUUACUACUUCUUUUCCACCUGGAUAUGUAUGAAUC
ensembl:lncRNA